UUACUGACGCUAAAGCUCGAAGGUGCGGGUAUCGAACAGGAUUAGAUACCCUGGUAGUCCGCACGGUAAACGAUGGAUGCCCGCUGUUCGCGAUAUACAGUGAGCGGCCAAGAGAAAUCGUUAAGCAUCCCACCUGGGGAGUACGCCGGCAACGGUGAAACUCAAAGGAAUUGACGGGGGCCCGCACAAGCGGAGGAACAUGUGGUUUAAUUCGAUGAUACGCGAGGAACCUUACCCGGGCUUGAACUGCAGGAGAAGGAUACAGAGAUGUUGACGCCCUUCGGGGCUCCUGUGGAGGUGCUGCAUGGUUGUCGUCAGCUCGUGCCGUGAGGUGUCGGCUUAAGUGCCAUAACGAGCGCAACCCUUUUCGUCAGUUGCCAUCAGGUGAUGCUGGGCACUCUGGCGACACUGCCACCGUAAGGUGUGAGGAAGGUGGGGAUGACGUCAAAUCAGCACGGCCCCUACGUCCGGGGCUACACACGUGUUACAAUGGGGCAUACAGAAGGCCGGUCGCCCGCAAGAGCGAUCCAAUCUAAAAAGUGUCCCUCAGUUCGGAUUGGGGUCUGCAACCCGACCCCAUGAAGCUGGAUCGCUAGUAAUC
rnacentral:rRNA from 1 species